UGGGGAAUAUUGCACAAUGGGCGCAAGCCUGAUGCAGCCAUGCCGCGUGUGUGAAGAAGGCCUUCGGGUUGUAAAGCACUUUCAGCGAGGAGGAAGGUGGUGAACUUAAUACGUUCAUCAAUUGACGUUACUCGCAGAAGAAGCACCGGCUAACUCCGUGCCAGCAGCCGCGGUAAUACGGAGGGUGCAAGCGUUAAUCGGAAUUACUGGGCGUAAAGCGCACGCAGGCGGUUUGUUAAGUCAGAUGUGAAAUCCCCGGGCUCAACCUGGGAACUGCAUUUGAAACUGGCAAGCCAGAGUCUCGUAGAGGGGGGUAGAAUUCCAGGUGUAGCGGUGAAAUGCGUAGAGAUCUGGAGGAAUACCGGUGGCGAAGGCGGCCCCCUGGACGAAGACUGACGCUCAGGUGCGAAAGCGUGGGGAGCAAACAGUAUUAGAUACCCUGGUAGUCCACGCUGUAAAACGAUGUCGAUUUUGGAGGUUGUGCCCUUGAGGCGUGGCUUCCGGAGCUAACGNGUUAAAUCG
rnacentral:rRNA from 1 species